GGAAACCAUACAUAUGAAGCAUGGGCACAGAGAAAACUAGCAUCAAUCACUUGUCACUGUAUUGCAUUCAGAGUGUCUGGUCCCAAGAUGGUACUGCCAGGCAGAGCUGCCAUUGAGUUUGGUGGGAGAGGAAGAGAGCAUAACGGCAGUGUAACCCAGAAAGCCAAGAAGCCACGCUGGCCUGAAUACCUGUGCUUCAAGCCCUCCAGAGCUUUCACCACCAAGACUGAGUCCUGUAUGGCACUGGGUGGGUGUCUUCUUUCACACCAAGAGUACAGCCCUCCAGAAUAUCAGAUGUCAACAGGAGUCUUCUAUUACAUUCCUGGUUUGGAUACUUCUAUUUAUACUUCAGGGAAAUAAAUAAGGAGAUAUAUAAA